CUUGCUUUGUUCACUUAGUAGUGUGGGUUUACAAACUUUAAGAAGAUGAUAAUAUAAAAGGUUUAAAUAAAUUACUUGUGGAUAAUGCACUAAGUAGUCCAUAGAGUAAGGGAAUGUAGCGAUACGAAAAAACAAAAACAAAAAUGCAAACAAUCAACCAACCUGAAAAUACUAAAAAUGAGCUUAUUGUUUGGGAAAAUAGAUGCCUGAACUCUAAAUCUUUAUAAAUAAUUCAUGCCCCUUAUGAGACUUUUCUGUUGAUGCUUUUUUAAGAUUUUUAAUUCUCAUUGAAAAAAUGAACUCACUGUGUUAUUAAACCACAAAAAAUCUUAGAUAGAAGGAAAUUAGCCUAUAGGCAGUGUGGUUGAGCAGCUGGUAAUGAGGGUCAGGGGGUAAAACACUGACCUGGAAGGUAGCAUGCCUUUGGUAAAUGGUUUUAGGUUCUAAGUCUGUUCCCCUAACUUGCUGUGCCCUUUUCUAGGCAUGUGAUUGGAGUCUUAGGAACACACAAACUCUCAAAAGCAAAGUCAUGGGAUGUGGUUGCCAGAAAGAUUGACAGUAUUAUCCUGAAGAGAGCAAGCAAUGCACUUGAAAACCGGGCACCCACUGAGGGCUUACACGAUAGCAUGGGCUAUAGAGACACACCAAAAAACUUGGAGUAAUAAUGAGUUUGUCUAUGGAUGGACUGAGAUUCUUAUACAAAGACUGGGUGGAAAAAUAAGGGUUUGUUCUUCAUCACACGAGUUCCUGCCAGAUACCUCGGCUGUGUUGAUGAUGUAACUUCAGAGGCCUGGAUGCUGCUCAGGAAGUUUCUGAUAGCAUCCUAUCAGAGUCUGGGCCAACACGAGGCCACCUCAACUUUUCCUUUUAUACACCCAACCCCUUAGCUUUAGCAAAACCAAGCUCCCUGCCAACUUGGAAUUGAGGUCAUGAGGAACAUCACAGAACAGCAGCUCUGAUGUGACAUCAACACUGCCCUCCAGGAGCAUUAAGCAAAAUGUAGGUGCUGAGGAGAAUUAAUAAAAGAACAGGACAACAUGUUUAAUGAUGUCCU
rnacentral:lncRNA from 12 species